UACGUAGGGCGCAAGCGUUAUCCGGAAUUAUUGGGCGUAAAGAGCCUCGUGAGCGGUUUGUCGCGUCUGCCGUGAAAGUCCGGGCUCAACUCCGGAUCUGCGGUGGUACGGGCAGACUAGAGUGAUGUAGGGGAGACUGGAAUUCCUGGUGUAGCGGUGAAAUGCGCAGAUAUCAGGAGGAACACCGAUGGCGAAGGCAGGUCUCUGGGCAUUAACUGACGCUGAGGAGCGAAAGCAUGGGGAGCGAACAGG
rnacentral:rRNA from 1 species